rnacentral:rRNA from 1 species
UACGUAGGGGGCAAGCGUUGUCCGGAUUUAUUGGGCGUAAAGAGCGUGUAGGCGGCCAACUAAGUCGGGCGUGAAAUCCCACGGCUCAACCGUGGAAGUGCACUCGAAACUGGAUGGCUAGAGUCCUGGAGAGGAAGGUGGAAUGCUUGGUGUAGAGGUGAAAUUCGUAGAUAUCAAGCGGAACACCGGUGGCGAAGGCGGCCUUCUGGACAGUGACUGACGCUGAGACGCGAAAGCGUGGGGAGCAAACAGG